UACGUAGGGGGCUAGCGUUGUCCGGAAUCAUUGGGCGUAAAGCGCGUGUAGGCGGUUCGGUAAGUCCGCUGUGAAAGUCGGGGGCUCAACCCUCGGAUGCCGGUGGAUACUGUCGGGCUUGAGUACGGAAGAGGCGAGUGGAAUUCCUGGUGUAGCGGUGAAAUGCGCAGAUAUCAGGAGGAACACCAAUUGCGAAGGCAGCUCGCUGGGACGUUACUGACGCUGAGGCGCGAAAGCGUGGGGAGCAAACAGG
rnacentral:rRNA from 1 species